UAUUCUUAUUUAUGAGUAUGUGUGCAUGAG
rnacentral:piRNA from 1 species